UAAUGUUCUUGUAGGAUGACAAGUUGUCGCAUCUCGAGCAUGUCUCACAAGAGAGUGGAAUGAAGUCCAUUGUACUGUUGGGAUAGUAGCAGAUGUGCCAUUGUUCUAUUGUGCAAUUUUGUCCAUUCUUGCUAUAUUCCUGUGUAAGGAAAUGUAUUCAUGAGAUGAGUUAUUUUGUUAUGUAAACCCGAGAGAUGUAUUAUGUGAUGUUAUAUGAUG
rnacentral:lncRNA from 1 species